GUAAAUUGUCACGCUAAUGUAUUGAAUCUUCACCUAAAUAAAGUCAGGGUUUAACAGUCAAAACUGUUUCCAUGAAAUUUUUUCACA